UAGUCUGGUGCCAGCAGCCGCGGUAAUUCCAGCUCCAAUAGCGUAUAUUAAAGUUGUUGCAGUUAGAACGCUCGUAGUCGGAUUUCGGGGCGGGCCGACCGGUCUGCCGAUGGGUUAGUACUGGCCGGCGCGUCCUUCCUUCCGGAGACCGUGCCUACUCUUAACUGAGCGGGGGCGGGAGACGGGACUUUUACUUUGAAAAAAUCAGAGUGUUUCAAGCAGGCAGCUCGCCCUUGCAUGGAUUAGCAUGGGAUAAUGAAAUAGGACUUUGGUGCUAUUUUGUUGGUUUCGAACACCGAAGUAAUGAUGAGAAGGGACAGUCAGGGGCACUCGUAUUUUGCCGAGAGAGGUGAAAUUCUCAGACCAGCGAAAGACGAACCACUGCGAAAGCAUUUGCCAGGGAUGUUUUCACUGAUCAAGAACGAAAGUUAGGGGAUCGAAGACGAUCAGAUACCGUCGUAGUCUUAACCAUAAACCAUGCCGACUAGGGAUUCGACGAUGUUCACUUAUUGACUUGUUGAGCACCUUACGGGAAACUAAAGUCUUUGGGUUCCGGGGGGAGUAUGGUCGCAAGGCUGAAACUUAAAGGAAUUGACGGAAGGGCACCACCAGGUGUGGAGCCUGCGGCUUAAUUUGACUCAACACGGGGAAACUUACCAGGUCCAGACAUUGUGAGGAUUGACAGAUUGAGAGCUCUUUCUUGAUUCGAUGGGUGGUGGUGCAUGGCCGUUCUU
rnacentral:rRNA from 1 species